GGCUAGCGCUCAGGUGGUGGCAGGAUCCACUUGCUCCGGUGCCUCCCGCGCCGGGCCCCACGCUGCGCCCCAGCCCCAGCGCCAGCAUGGGCGGCGCCCGGGCCCUGGGCUGGGUGGUGGCGGGCCUGGUCCUCGGGGCCGGCGCCUGCUACUGCAUUUAUAAGCUGACGCGGGGCCAGCGGCAAGGCGGCCGUGGGCUUUGGCUGCGCCCCUCGCGCUCCGCAGAAGACUUAACCAAUAUGAUGAUGUCCUAAACGUUGACCAGCUCCAGAAACUCCUCUACCUGCUUGAGUCAAUUGAUGAUCCUGUAAUUACUGAAAGACCUUUGGUCACUCUGGGUAACAAUGCAGCCUUUUCAGCCUACCAAGUCAUUAUUCGUGAAUUGGGUGGUAUUCCAAUCAUUGGAGGCAAAAUCAAUAAUCCCAACCACAGUAUUAAAGAGAAAGCUCUAAAUGCAUUGAAUAACCUGAGUGUGAAUGUUGACAAUCAAGUCAAGAUAAAGGCUUACAUCAGUCAAGUCUGCAAGGAUGUCCUCUCUGGGCCCCUAGACUCUGCUGUACAGCUGGCUGGGCUGAGAUUGUUGACCAACAUGACAGUUACCAAUGACCACCAGCACAUGCUUAGCAAGUACAUCACAGACCUGUUCCACGUGCUGCUUACAGGGAAUGGAAGUACCAAGGUUCAAGUUUUGAAACUGCUUGUGAAUUUGUCUAAAAAUCCAGCCAUGGCAGACGGACUACUUGGUGCCCAAGUGGACUCCUCAUUCCUUUCCCUUUAUGACAGCCACGUGGCAAAGGAGAUUCUUCUUCGAGUUCUUACACUCUCUCAGAAUAUAAAUAACUGCCUCGAAAAAGAAGGCUGUUUAGCUAUUCAGCCUACUUUCCCUAAAGGUUCCCUGUUUUUCCUGUUAUAUGGAGAAGAAUGUGCCCAGAAAAUGAGAGCUUUAGCUGAACACCAUGAUGCAGAUGUGAAGGAAAAGGUAACAGUCCUACCCAAGUUCUGAUUGGUCCCGGU